AUUGAACGCUGGCGGCAGGCCUAACACAUGCAAGUCGAACGAGUGGCGGACGGGUGAGUAACGCCUGGGAAACCGCCUGAUGGAGGGGGAUAACCACUGGAAACGGUAGCUAAUACCGCCUACCAUCGGACUUGUCCAGAUGGGAUUACCUAGUUGGUGGGGUAAAGGCUCACCUAGGCCACGAUCCCUUGCUGGUCUGAGAGGAUGGCCAGCCAAACUGGAACGGAGACACGGUCCAGACUCCUACGGGAGGCAGCGGUGGGGAAUAUUGGACAAUGGGCGCAACCCUGAUGCGGCCAUGCCGCGUGUAUGAAGAAGGCCUUCGGGUUGUAAAGUACUUUCAGCGGGGAGGCGUUACCCGCAGAAGAAGCACCGGCUAACUCCGUGCCAGCAGCCGCGGUAAUAC
rnacentral:rRNA from 1 species